UUGGCUACAUUGGCACAAUCAUAUAAACAACCAAAAAAACUGCUCAGAAAUCUUUUACAAGUGGGAAGAAGAAAAGGAUGUCAACAAACUUUUGAAUGCAAUUUCCUCCCUUGGUGGGUUUUUCUUUUUCUCUUUGUUUUUCUUAAAUUUUUUUUUUGGGUUUAGGUGGAAAGAAGAACACCCUUAUUGUCUCUAUAAUAGAGAAAUUGGGGAUUUGGAGUGUAUAAAAAGAUCAAUUUACUAGUUUGAAGGGUUUAGGGUUUAAGGUUAGAAUUUUGUUUUACCAUAAAGACAAAGGAGAAAAUGGAAGAAAAGGGGUUGAAGAAAGAAACCAUAUCCAUCUCUUUGAUUAAUUCGCCCCUUUGCGUCUCUUUUGUAAUAGAAUUUUGUCUUUUUGUUAGGGCUUUUUGGGGUUUGUUUCGGAGUUGGGAAUAAAUAUCCAAUAUGUU
rnacentral:lncRNA from 1 species